rnacentral:tRNA from 2 species
GCCGGAUUAGCUCAGUUGGUAGAGCGACUGAUUUGUAAUCAGUAGGUCGCGGGUUCGACUCCUGCAUCCGGCACCA